ensembl:lncRNA
GGACGCGCGUGGAGGACGCGCGCCAUCCCCCCCGACGUGGUAUUCGGCGCGCGUCGUCGCCGGUCCUCUAGCCACGCCGCUCCUCCUCCCACGGCACUGUCAUGUCUCGUUAUUGCACACACCUGGUGUCCAUUCCCUCAUUAGGUUGCCUAUAUUAGUUCCUGUGUUUCUGGGUGUCUUUGUGUGGUAUUGUUCUAUGUCUUUAUAUUGUGGAGAGAGGCACGUUCGUUGAGCGUUUUAUCGCCGUGUAUAGCGUGCCUUUGUUGUAUUAUUAUUAUUUUUGAGAAUACAGUUUUGUUUAUCGCCUCCCUGCGUUUGGCUCCAAGUUCUUCGACACACUCCACUACACCCAGCCGUGACAGAACACCUGGAUUUUGGCUGGAUUGUUCCUUAGAGAUCCUCUCGAGCGUUGUCAAAUAGGAUGGGGAGCGUCGGUGAAACGCAAUCUUAAAGUCUACUCACAUGUUCAAUGGGUUUCAAAUCCAGGAUUUGCCUGGGCCCUCAAAGAUCUUCACAGACAAGCUACACCAUAGGGAUGGUAUUAGCCAGGUGAUGAGCUUUACCUCUUUUUCAACAGCCAAUGCCCUUGGCAUUUAUUAAAAGUCAGAGGUUUGCAGAAAUUACAACUUAUAGCUUUCUACUUGACAAGUAGGAUACAUCACUUCAUUUAGCUAGUUGGCUAGAUAGACAAGGAAAUCUGUGUGUAGGUUACUAGAUAGUAUAAUUGUUUCUCUGUCAUCAUCUAUGUAGAUAAUAAUUCAAUAUUCUUGUUUAUUCUAUUUGUAUGAGCGCAUAUCCAUUUUGGAAGGUUUCUCUAAAGUCUACGACCGAGACAAUAAGCUAAGUUGUGUCCGAGCAGACGAUGAGCCCACGUUAGCUAGCAUUAUGUCUGAGCAGACACGCUUUAUUCCAUUUCCUCCUGGAAAAUAGUGUUACAACCUGGUGUUCUCUGCAAAAUGUUAAGAAAAACAAACAUGUAUUGUGGUUGUUUGACUAAACCUUUUGCAUAUUAAGCGAAUCGAAGAAGCAAUUAUAUUACCUUUUAGUUUGAUUUAGCCGUGUGAAAACUGGUCAAAGUAAGCACAUUAUUUUUCCAGCUAACGGUAGCUAGCACGAUUAUGGUUUCAUAUUUGCUAGAUAGCCAUCAACGAAUCUCUGAAAUAUGACAAUGCAUCUUACGCAAUAGAUAGCCCAGAUGGCGUUUUGAUUGGUUUAGCUGUUCACACUGUGUUCCGUAGUUAUGGAAUGGGCUCAUCAACAUUUAGCCCAUUUAAAACAAAAGUUUGUUUUCAUUGUUCCAGCAUCGACGGUUGGAGGUGACACUGCUUCAUACCGGUCAGUAUGCUCUUAUUUGUAACGACUAAUAUGUCAGAUCAUAAUGGAGUUAUAGAACCGAUGUACAACUCACUGCCGAUAGGUGGCAUUGAGUUGCAUUAAAACGGUGUAGAUAGUUAAUGUUGUAAAUACUAUUGUAGGUAGAAAAAGCUGAUUUUCAACGGAUUAUGUAUAUAGGCGUACCAAGGCCCAUUAUCAGCAACCAUAAUCGUCUACUCCUGUUUUCCAAUGGCACAUUGUGUUUGCUAAUCCAAGUUUAUAAUUUUAAAAGGCUAACUGAUCAUUAGAAAAUCCUUUUGCAAUUAUGUUAGUAUCGCUGAAAACUGUUCCGAUUAAAGAAGCAAUAAAAAUUGCCUUCUUUAGACUAGUUCAGUAUCUUCAACAUCAACAUUUGUGGGUUCAACUGCAGACACAAAAUGAACAGUGCAAAGAGGAGUGGGAGGCCCCGGUGCACAGCUGAGCAAGAGGACAAAUACAUUAGAGUGUUUAGUUUGAGAAACAGACACCAGUCACAGGUCCUCAACUGGCAGCUUCAUGAAAUAGUACAAGCAAAACACCAGUCUCAACAUCAACAGUGAAGAAACGACUCCAGGAUUCUGGCCUUCUACGCAGAGUUUUUCUGUCCAGUGUCUGUUCUUUUGCCUAUCUUAAUCUUUUUUUUUAUUGGCCACUCUGAGAAAUUGCUUUUUCUUUGCAACUCUAAGAUAUACAGCACUCAUGUAAUAGGCUGGGCAAUGCCAGUCCUAAUAUAUACUGCAUGAAGAGAUAAUUAAAUAUUCUUUAUUGAGAAGAGAAGUUGUUGUGAUAUGUUACACAUAUCAUGCCUCAUACAAUCAGUAUAUUUUCUACUAUAUUCAACAUUCA